ACCGAACUCAAGCACCUGCCCCCUUUUCUGUCCAGUAGUCAUUUACAGAAACGCGAAUUCCACCCACACUAUCAGCUCUUAUAAAACUCCAUCUUACGCUUUCUCGUCUUCCACUUGAGGUACGGUUGGACUUCUCUACGCAGACGAAUUGACUGAGCCAGAAUGCCACACGCUUACCCUUUCUUGACUCCUGAGCAGAAGAAGGAGCUCAGUGACAUUGCUCAGAGGAUUGUUGCUCCCGGCAAGGGCAUCCUCGCUGCGGACGAGUCCACAGGCAGCGUUGCUAAGCGCUUCCAGAGCAUCAAUGCGGAGAACACCGAGGAGAACAGGAGGCUGUACAGGCAGCUGCUGUUCACCGCCGACGACCGCGUCAAGCCCUGCAUCGGAGGCGUGAUCUUCUUCCACGAGACCCUCUACCAGAAGGCCGACGAUGGCAAGCUCUUCCCCCAGCUGAUCAAGGAGAAAGGCAUGGUGGUCGGCAUCAAGGUCGAUAAGGGUGUUGUCCCCCUGGCCGGCACCAACGGCGAGACCACCACCCAGGGUCUUGACGGACUGUACGAGCGCUGUGCUCAGUACAAGAAGGAUGGCGCCGACUUUGCCAAGUGGCGCUGCGUGCUGAAGAUCACCCCCACCACCCCCUCCCGCCUGGCCAUCAUUGAGAACGCCAACGUCCUGGCCAGAUAUGCCAGCAUCUGCCAGAUGCAUGGCAUCGUGCCCAUCGUGGAGCCCGAGAUUCUGCCUGACGGCGACCACGACCUGAAGCGCUGCCAGUACGUGACCGAGAAGGUCCUGGCCGCCGUCUACAAGGCCCUGUCCGACCACCACGUCUACCUGGAGGGGACCCUGCUCAAGCCCAACAUGGUCACCGCCGGACACUCCUGCUCCCACAAGUACACUCCCCAGGAGGUCGCCAUGGCUACUGUUACCGCCCUGCGUCGUACAGUGCCCCCUGCAGUUCCCGGAGUCACCUUCCUGUCUGGUGGCCAGAGUGAGGAGGAGGCCUCCAUCCACCUGAACGCCAUCAACCAGUGUCCUCUGCACAGGCCAUGGGCCCUCACCUUCUCCUACGGCCGCGCCCUGCAGGCAUCUGCCCUCAAGGCCUGGGGAGGCAAGAAGGAGAACGGCAAGGCCUGCCAGGAGGAGUACAUCAAGAGAGCCCUGGUACGUAGCCUAGCCUACCGUAGCCUAUCCUAGCGUAGCUGCUCGGGCAUAGCACAGUCAGACAAGGCCUGCCAGGAGGAGUACAUCAAGAGAGCCCUGAACAACAGCCAGGCUGCCCUGGGCAAAUACGUGUCCGCCGGGGACAAGGGCGCCGCCGCCGGGGAGUCCCUCUUCGUGGCCAACCACGCCUAUUAGACGCCGACGCUUUUCUGCGCACCGCCCCCCCUCACCCCCCACACCCCAAGGAAGUGGAACCGCCAGGGCUCCCGUAACGUUCACUCUGCUAAGACUCCUCCCACCUCCCAUUCUGUACUAGUGAUGCCAUUUCGAUGUCUAGCGAGGGAGAGAGAAGCACGUCCCACAAACAUGGCCGUUUGCUUUCCGACUCUGGUGCGGGAGAUGGAAGAUCCAGAAAUCAUCCGCCCCCAUUCCUGUCUCUGCUCCACCCCCCCCCCUGUCUCCAAGCACCUCUAAGGUGUGAGGAUUCCAUUUCCUUUGUGAUGUAAUUACAUGAUUCCACACAUGAGCCUUUUCUUGCCUCUAACAGCUAAGGCAAGAAGAUAUUGAGCAUAUUGUAAACACUGGAAAUAGAGAAAUAAAUUAUCUUAUCCACCA